AAAGAUUUGUGUUUUCAAUAUUAACUUUAAGUAAGCAUUAGAUGAUGCAUUAGAUCAUGCUGUUGUGUUUUAUUCUUCAUUUGUUGUUCCUCAGCCACGUAAAAUAGGUUUCUCCAGUUUUGGCCACCGUAAGAAGCGCACUCACGAGUCCACUGACUACAUCUGCCCUCUGGAUGCUUCACAAGACCAGGCCCUGCUCAAUGGGGCCAACCGGCCCUACAGCGGCUUCAGGGGCCUGAGCCCCAUCUUUGACCGGGACCCAGAGAGACAGGAGCAGCUGUUGCACACUAAAGAAUCAGGGAUGCAGAUCGAGGCCUUAUCCAGGAGAAUUAACAACCUCACAUACUUACUCAGCCGAGACGAGCUGCUGAGAGGAAUGAGACGCAGCCAGACCGCCAUAGUGUGAUCGGCCUGCGCCGCAUUAACUCCACCGUCCCGCCAAGAGCAUACCUCAACCUAACCCACCUCACCCUCAAAGCUUCAGGACCUGAACUGUGUCACACAAUCCUGCAUAAUUCAGCUCAAGAACACAGCUCUAUUAUUUUUGAUAUUGUAUUACUAAUUAUUUUUGAUGCGUUAUGGGGUUAUAAUGUACUGUAUGACAAUCAGAUCUGAGUUAAAGAGCAAACAAAAAAAUAAUUUUGUGUAAUAUGCAGACAGCACUUUUCACAAAGCCUUUCUGUCAAUAGAUGAAAUCAUCUACCUCAACCAUUGUGUUCUUCUUAAAAUAUUGUAUUCAUAUAGCCAGUGGAACUGGAUGUGAGUAAAUCCUUCUGUUUGACGAACACUUUGUCAUUUUCUUAGGCUGUUUUACUUCAUUUUUUUCAAAGCUUGUUAAAAGCAGUUAGUUUUUUCAAGCAGAAAUGGUUGUUUGCUUGCUAUACCUCUGUUAAAUCCACCCCAAGAGUUAAAAGGGGUUUGUUGUAGUAGGGGGCUUUAUGCUGUGUAUGACGACUUGUCCAGUGUCCUACGUGUCCAAUGUGUCCCAUGACCCAACCGACAAACUUUGGGAGGUCCUUAUAUGACGGCUGAGCUUUAAAUGAGCAUACUUAUCUUAACAGGACUCCAAAGAAGAGAAGAAAAAUCCGCCCGCAGGUUCACUCUCGACCGAUACCAAGGAAAGAAUAAUAUUGGUGAGUUAUUUUACCUGGUAACAUUUUACAUGUCAGUGUCCACUGACCA
ensembl:lncRNA